rnacentral:lncRNA from 1 species
AGAGUUUUCUCGUUUUGGAAUCUAAGCUGAAGAAAUAGUUAUUAUUUGGGAUAUACUAUUUUUCUGGCAGAGGGAAACAAUAAUAACUUGUGGAAAUUAACGAGUCUUCUUAAAGCUUUUGCUUUAAGGAUGCACACAUUACAUCUGCUCGUAUACUAUUAAUCAAUGCAAGUCAGAUGGCCAAACUCAAAAUCAACGGAGUGAGGAUGUUCAUUAUUCUGUGGUGGAGUGGAUACAGCAAAUCACCUGUUAAGGAGAAAGUAAAAAUUCAAUUAACCACUGAUGGGCAACAUCCAAAAUUAAGAGCAGAAACAGAAAAAUAAAAGACCACUCAGCAAAGACAAGUAGAGUAUAAGCAUCACAUAGGCUGGAAACUUUGCUCUUUUCUGUUUGUUUUUGUCCGUUCUCUUAUGUAUCCCAAGCAUCUGGAAUGAGGACCGGCACAUAGCUAUUGUUCAAUAAAUGCUUGUUGAUAAAUUAAAAAUGCUGGAAUUAUUUGACUUCUCUUUAUCAACUGUAGGCAACACUAACCUGUAUGCAGGAAAAAAACAUACAGGAUUAAUGAAGAAUUUGGGGGUGGUUUACUCUAACAGUAUUAUCUAGACUCUCAUUUAGGAUCUAUAUUUGCAUUGAAAGGUGCAGGUAAUAUGAUUUACUUCUGUACAGAAUGUACUGAAACCUGUGUUUCUGAGUCUGUAAUUAAAUGUGGCCCUUAUCUUAAUGAGCACAUGCCAUCCUUCUCUCUAGGCAGAGCCUCUUAACACAACUGAAAUAGCCCAGCAAUUGCACAGAGCAUACUGCAGAGUUCUGUCAUAUCCCAUGAUACAAUUAGUCUCUGUGAUUAGGUGGAUUUAAACAAAAAGGUAUGUGUUUAUCUUCAUGAUGCACAGAGUGGCAGUGGCAGGUGGCUCCAUUUCCUAGAAUAUGGUUCCAAUCCAAGAUGUCAUUUGGAGAGAUAUCAGUUGCCACAGAGAAGUUAAGUCUUGUGUGAAGCUGAAGAAGGUGAAGUUGAUCAUAGGAGUUUCCUUGCACUUCUCUUUGGAACAGCUUAAAUCCUAGGCACCCACCUUUGCCUCAGAAUUCAGCUGGUGUCUGAUGUGGAAUAAUUUGUGUCCCCUGCCCAGAAAGAUAUGUUGAAGUGCUAACCCUGGUACCUGUGACUAUGACCUUCUUUGGAAGUAGGGUAUUUGCAGAUGUAAUCAAGUUAAAAUGAGUCAUCCUACAUCUAGUUAAUGGUGUCCUUAUAAACAGGCUGAGAUUUGAAAACCCAGAGGGCAGAGGGAAAUAGGGCACUUGAUGACCAAGGCGGAGAUUGCAAUGAUUCAACUGCAAGCCAAAAAAUGCCAAGGAUUGGCCAGGCGUGGUGGCUCACGCCUGUAAUCCCAGCACUUUGGGAGUCCGAGGCAGGUGGAUUGUGAGAUCAGGAGAUCGAGACCACCCUGGCUAAUAUGGUGAAACCCCGCCUCUACUAAAAAUACAAAAAUUAUCUGGGCAUGGUGGUGGGCACCUGUAGUCC